CUUAUUACCGUAAGAUAGUUGAGACUUCUCUCAGUUACUUAACAGCAAAUAGCAGCCUCUUCAGAAGUAUGAAUUUUUUUAAGUAACUCAAAUACUAUCUGCAUAUGGGCAUGGAAAGAUCCAUUUGAAUUUUGGGGAAAGAGAAUGAAUGAUAGAGAAGAUGGCUAAUGGUAAGAAGGGGAUGGAAAUGUCCACAACUAAGAUAUGAAAACCAAAUUUUGUGGUCUCAGUUCACUCCAAAUUACAAAGACUUUUCACCUUAUAAGGCAGUGGCAUAUGAAAAAUGGAUGUCCAGCACAAGGAUCUACCAUGGAGUGAUGUCAUAGUGGGCUUCUAUGAACAGAGAACAGCAAAAGUAUUGUCAAUAUUUAGGUAUUGACAGAAAAGGAAAAAAACAAUCCAAAAGGUUGCAGACCUGUCUAACUAAGUGCAUUUGUAUAUAUUGGCUUUGUACUUUGUAUUUGGAAGGGAAGAAUAAUAAAGUACAUACAGACAAAAGAAAACAGGAUCAAAUGCAACCUAAAUAUAUUAAAGGACAAACACAG